rnacentral:rRNA from 1 species
AUUGAACGCUGGCGGCAGGCCUAACACAUGCAAGUCGAACGAGUGGCGGACGGGUGAGUAAUGUCUGGGACACUGCCUGAUGGAGGGGUAUAACUACUGGAAACGGUAGCUAAUACCGCAUCCCAUCAGCUGUGCCCAGAUGGGCUUGGCUUGUUGGUGGGGUAACGGCUCACCAAGGCGACGAUCCCUAGCUGGUCUGAGCGGAGGACCAGCCACACUGGAACUGAGACACGGUCCAGACUCCUACGGGAGGCAGCAGUGGGGAAUAGUGCACAAUGGGCGAAAGCCUGAUGCAGCAAUGCAGCGUGUAUGAAGAAGGCCUUCGGGUGGUAAAGUACUUUCAGCGGGGAGGCGUUACCCGCAGAAGAAGCACCGGCUAACUCCGUGCCAGCAGCCGCGGUAAUUC